rnacentral:rRNA from 1 species
GACGAACGCUGGCGGCGUGCUUAACACAUGCAAGUCGACAUGAGUUGCGAACGGGUGAGUAAUACGUGGCUAACCUACCCUCCUUUUUGGGAUAAGCCAUGGAAACGGGAUAUAAUAUAGAAUACAGGGGGAUGGGCAGGCGUCCUAUCAGCUUGUUGGUGGGGUGAUGGCCUACCAAGGCGGAGACGGGUAGCCGACCUGAGAGGCUGACCGGCCAAAUUGGGAGAGAGAGACGGUCCCGACUCGUACGGGAGGAAGCAGUGAGGGAUGUUGCACAAUGGGGGAAAGCCUGAUGCAGGUACGCGGCGUGGGGGAUGAAAUCUUUCGGGUUGUAAGCCUCUUUCGCUAUAGAACGAGUAGGUAGAGAAGGAGGGCCGGCUAACUACGGGCCAGCCGCCGCGGUAAUAC